GACGAACGCUGGCGGCGUGCCUAAUACAUGCAAGUAGGACGCAGUUGCGAACGGGUGAGUAACGCGUCGGUAACUGCCUAUUAGAGGGUGAUAACUAUUGUAAACGAUAGCUACUACCGCAUCCUAUAAGCUGGACCUUCGUUGUAUUUGCUAGUAGGUAGGGUAAUGGCCUACCUAGGCUACGCUACAUAGCCGACACGGGAGGGUGAGCGGACAAAGUGAGAAGGAAACAAGGCCCAGACUCCUACGGGAGGCAGAAGUAGGGAAUCUUAGGAAAUGGGGGGAACCCUGACCGAUCAACGCCGCGUGAGGGAAGAAGGUUUUCGGAUCGUAAAGCUCUGUUGUUAAGGAAGCGGUACUUAACCAGAAAGGGACGGCUAACUACGUGCCAGCAGCCGCGGUAAUUC
rnacentral:rRNA from 1 species